rnacentral:lncRNA from 1 species
ACCCCAACCCCCCGUUUCGCACUUCUUUCUCACUUUAGUAUCCUGUGUAUCAAUUUGUCCCCCCUGUGGUUUCGUUUAUCUCUUUUUAUUAUCAAUUUUAUUAUUUUUUUCUCUUAAAUCAGUGACAAAGUUAAAAUUAAAGGAUACUAAAGUAAAUAUUCGAUAAAUUUAGGUGGGUAUCUGAAGUUUUUUAUAUAAAAUUUAACAAAAUAUUAAGAAAAAAGCUACCGAAAAGAUAAAAACAAAACCACAUGGGGGCAAAUUGAUACACUUUAAACCACAAGGUACUAAAGUGAGAAAGUGCGAAACCACAGGAGGUUUUUUGAAGUUUU